AAUGUGAAUUGCAGAAUUCAGUGAAUCAUCGAAUCUUUGAACGCACAUUGCGCCCCCUGGUAUUCCGGGGGGCAUGCCUGUUCGAGCGUCAUUUCACCACUCAAGCCUGGCUUGGUAUUGGGCGUCGCGGGUCUCCGCGCGCCUUAAAGUCUCCGGCUGAG
rnacentral:rRNA from 1 species